GACGAGCUGCGGCGUGCUUAACACAUGCAAGUCGAACGGGCCGUGCCUGGCUUUGGUUGGGUGGGUGGAGUGGCGAACGGGUGAGUAACACGUGAGUAACCUGCCCUCUUCUCUUGGAUAACUGCUUGAAAGGGCGGCUAAUACGGGAUGUUCUGGCUGCCUCGCAUGGGGUGGUUUGGAAAGAUUCGGCCUGGUUUUGGUUGGUUUUGGUGGGGGAUGGGCUCGCGGCUUAUCAGCUUGUUGGUGGGGUGAUGGCCUACCAAGGCGGUGACGGGGUAGCCGGCCUGAGAGGGUGGACGGUCACACUGGGACUGAGACACGGCCCAGACUCCUGCGGGAGGCAGCAGUGGGGGAUUUUGCACAAUGGGCGCAAGCCUGAUGCAGCGACGCCGCGUGAGGGAUGGAGGCCUUCGGGUUGUGAACCUCUGUCGCCGGUGAUGUAGGCUCUGCUUUUGUGGGUGGGGUUGACGGUAGCCGGGGUAUGAAGUGCCGGCUAACUACGUG
rnacentral:rRNA from 1 species